UACGGGGGGGUGCGAGCGUUGUCCGGAAUCACUGGGCGUAAAGGGCGCGUAGGUGGUUUGAUAAGGGUGUGGUGAAAGUCCGGGGCUCAACCCCGGAUCUGCCGUGCCGACUGUCAAACUCGAGGACUGUAGAGGCAGACGGAAUUCCGGGUGUAGCGGUGGAAUGCGUAGAGAUCCGGAGGAAGACCGGUGGCGAAGGCGGUCUGCUGGGCAGUUUCUGACACUGAGGCGCGACAGCGUGGGGAGCAAACAGGG
rnacentral:rRNA from 1 species